rnacentral:lncRNA from 1 species
CUUACAGAGCAACCUAGCCAGCUGGCAUGGUAGAGGUCUGUACAGCAAACAGCAAAGAGAAACCGAAAGCGAAAACCCAGUCCCACUACGUCACUCUGACCAUGCCCUCACAUGCCUAGUCAGGCACAUCUGUAGCCAGCCCCUAAGAAGGCGUGGCUACAGCUUUCCCUACAAUUCCCCUUUUAGUCUAAAAGAGGAUUAAAACUUAACAGUAUAAAGUAUCCAAAAUUAACAAUCAUAAAGGUAAAAUAUAAGAAGAUACAACAAUCUGCUUAUGUCACAUCCUAUCUAUUUUAACUAAACCCUAAAGUCAUCUGAAAGAGGUAUCCAAGCCUGAACACCUCCUUCCAAUCCCAACGAUAAACAAUAGGAAGCUAUCCCUAACUAGUUAUAUACAUUAUCCUAAGUGACAACAAAUGGGAAAGGGGGAGUAGCAUCCUCCAAGUUACUUCCUGCUGAAAUGGGACAAUGAUAGUCAUGUGGGGUCCUGUAGGAAGAAAAUGUUAGUAUAGUAAAAGUCUUGAAUGAAUUGUAUCCAGUCCAUGUUAGAUGGGAUUUAUUUGAUUGAAGAUCUCGCUUGAAAUUUUCAACUUGAUUGAAGUCAGUAUCUGAACCUCUGGCUGGAGUGUCCAUUGAAAUGGAACAAGUUGGAUCCAGUGCAGUCGAGGAGGUGUGGUCCAUUUUCUUUUUAGGGUGUCCAAGGAUUGCUGUCAGGCAGGUCUUUAUUGGCUGUGUGGGACUCAAACCUGUUAUUUGUCCUCGUCGAGAGGUUUUUCCUUUUUCACUCGAAUCUUGAUCAACUUUGAUGGUAUCCAAAGUUUUUCUUCUCCUGUAGAAACCAAUGUAAAACCUCUACCCCAACGUAACACAUGUCCUGGUUUCCAGACAGAGGUUAGUACAUCUUUGAAGUAUAUCGGCUGAUUGAGUUUAGCAGUUUUCUCCAUAGUCCAGUGUCUUUCUGUAGCUGUUUGUCCUUUUUUAUUGGCAUUAAGAAAGUUUAGUGUUAAUAAAGCAUUAUGUAACCUAUGUUUGGGGGGUUUAGUCUUCCAAGCUUGUUUGUUGAGCAUCUCCUUAAGUGUUCUAUUAGAUCUCUCAACCACUGCUUGUCCUGUAGGAUUGUG